rnacentral:rRNA from 1 species
UACGGAGGGGGCGAGCGUUAUUCGGAAUUAUUGGGCGUAAAGGGCGCGUAGGCGGCCAAGUAAGUCAAAGGUGAAAUCCCUCGGCUCAACUGAGGAAUUGCCUUUGAAACUGCGUGGCUUGAGGCCGGGAGGGGGUAGCGGAAUUCCCAGUGUAGCGGUGAAAUGCGUAGAUACUGGGAGGAACACCAGUGGCGAAGGCGGCUACCUGGACCGGUUCUGACGCUGAGGCGCGAAAGCCAGGGGAGCAAACGGG